rnacentral:rRNA from 1 species
CCUACGGGAGGCAGCAGUCGGGAAUCUUGGACAAUGGGCGCAAGCCUGAUCCAGCCAUGCCGCGUGUGUGAAGAAGGUCUUCGGAUUGUAAAGCACUUUAAGUUGGGAGGAAGGGCAGUAAGCUAAUACCUUGCUGUUUUGACGUUACCGACAGAAUAAGCACCGGCUAACUCUGUGCCAGCAGCCGCGGUAAU